UACGGGGGGGGCAAGCGUUGUUCGGAAUUACUGGGCGUAAAGGGCUCGUAGGCGGCCAACUAAGUCGGACGUGAAAUCCCUCGGCUUAACCGGGGAACUGCGUCUGAUACUGGAUGGCUUGAGGUUGGGAGAGGGAUGCGGAAUUCCAGGUGUAGCGGUGAAAUGCGUAGAUAUCUGGAGGAACACCGGUGGCGAAGGCGGCAUCCUGGACCAAUUCUGACGCUGAGUGAGCGAAAGCCAGGGGAGCAAACGGG
rnacentral:rRNA from 1 species